GGGGAGCGGCGGACGGGUGAGUAACACGUGGGAAUUUUCCUCAAGGUACGGAACAACUCAGGGAAACUUGGGCUAAUACCGUAUGAUGCAGAGAUGCCAAAGAUUUAUCGCCUUGGGAUAAGCCCGCGUCAGAUUAGGUAGUUGGUGGGGUAAUGGCCUACCAAGCCUGUGAUCUGUAGCUGGUCUGAGAGGACGAUCAGCCACAUUGGGACUGAGACACGGCCCAAACUCCUACGGGAGGCAGCAGUGGGGAAUCUUGCGCGAUGGGCGAAAGCCUGACGCAGCCAUGCCGCGUGAAUGAUGAAGGUCUUAGGAUUGUAAAGUUCUUUAGCCUGUGACGAUGAUGACGGUAACAGGAGAAUAAGCCCCGGCUAACUUCGUGCCAGCAGCCGCGGUAAUACGAAGGGGGCUAGCGUUGUUCGGAAUUACUGGGCGUAAAGCGCGCGUAGGCGGUUAUGCAAGCCAGAGGUGAAAUGCCUGAGCUCAACUUAGGAAUUGCCUUUGGAACUGCAUGGCUUUGAGGACGAGAGAGGUGAGUGGAAUUCCCAGUGUAGAGGUGAAGUUCGUAGAUAUUGGGAAGAACACCGGUGGCGAAGGCGGCUCACUGGCUCGUUUCUGACGCUGUAGCGCGAAAGCGUGGGGAUCAAACAGGAUUAGAUACCCUGGUAGUCCACGCCGUAAACGAUGANGUGCUAGGUGUUGGCACGCUUGCGUGUCAGUGCCGCAG
rnacentral:rRNA from 1 species